CAGCAGCCGCGGGAAUACGAAGGGUGCUAGCGUUGUUCGGAAUCACUGGGCGUAAAGCGCGCGUAGGCGGCGUAGCAAGUCAGAGGUGAAAGCCCGGGGCUCAACCCCGGAAUUGCCUUUGAAACUGCUAUGCUAGAGUGUCGGAGGGGAUAGCGGAAUUGCUAAUGUAGAGGUGAAAUUCGUAGAUAUUAGCAGGAACACCGGUGGCGAAGGCGGCUAUCUGGACGACAACUGACGCUGAGGCGCGAAAGCGUGGGGAUCAAACAGGAUUAGAUACCCCGGUAGUCCCUGUCUCUUAUAC
rnacentral:rRNA from 1 species